AUACAUCUCCUAUGUCUAAAAAGGUAAUUUCCUUUAAAAUUUUAAGAUGGCAGACAAAUGGUCUUAGGUUCUUCCCUAAAAGCAUGACCCUUUCUCCCAGUUUUGCCCCUAAAUCAAUGUUUUCACUACAAAGAAAUAAACCAGCCGAUUGAUCUCCUUCAGAAAUAUAACAAAUAUAACGGCUGUCAUCAAUCAUGUUCAUCAUGGCCAUUAAAAGCUUCGACUAAACUAUUUGAUAUUAAACCCACGCCUCCAUCUCUAGCCUUUUUAUCUUACACCAACACACAUAUCAGAGAGAGGAGAGGUGAGGAGAGCAGGGGAGACGGACGCCUAAUCAAAUAUGCCCAUUCGUUUCGGAUCCCCACUCCUGACUUGAAUGGAAAUUAGGUCUACUUUGCGAGUCGACAUAUAUAUAGAUAUAUACAUUUCGUCUUCACCGAAUCCAUAGAGAUUGAGAAACAGGUAGCGGUGGCGGUUGUGCUGGUCGUCCAUCAAUUCAAGGUAAGCAAGAAUCAAUUAUCACUAUACAUAGCAGCAAAUUCAUAUAUAUUAAUAAUGAUAGGGGCAAGCGAAUUCAUAGAACUCAGUAGUUGAAAUCAUUCUUCAAUUAGCAAUCAGGAUCAUACAUCAUCGAUGGGAUUUAUUGUCAGGUUUUUCGUGUUUCUAUUUCCCGUGUCAUCGUAAUUUUGAUCGAUCUUCAAUUUAUUUACAUUCUAUUUGUUAAUAAUGAUACGUAUUGGUUAGAUCUGAUAUACUAAAUUAAAAUUUUGACAUUCAGAGUUUAUUGUUCUUGGGUGCAAAUUUAUGUUCAGUUUUCUUAUAUUGAUUGUUAAAGAUAGAACUUUUUCACUAGAGUUGUAUUUGGCUUUCCAUAUUAGAAGCUUUCUGAUUUUUAAAUGUUCUUUAUAUUUGUUAAUUUUGAAUGAAGUGAACUUAAUCUUGUUGAUGGGGUUGUUAAAGUUGGAACUCCAACUGUAAGUUGAAACGUGAAAGUUACUACCUGUUUUUGAAUUUGUAUGUAUGUAUAGUCAUUGUUAUAAGUGUUGAAUGGUGGUGCAGGCUGAUAUAUGCUGGGAAACAGCUUGCAUAUGACAAAACAGCGAAGGGGACUUCUGAUGCCAGGUUCGAAGUUAGGGUUUCAAAUGAUUCAAUCAAACGGUUUCCUAAUCUUCAAAGAUUGGUUUGUCAUAUAAAAAAAUGGAAGCACUUUUAUAUAUGUCGGCUAUAAGCAACUAACUUUUCUGGUAUCAAUCAACAGAAGCUGCAGCAGGUACACUGGUCUCUAUUAUGGUGAACCAUAUGUUUUUUUUUUUUUUUUUGCAUUAAGGAUACUGGUUAGUCAAUUCACACAAUCUAUGUAGCCCGUCUUUUGGUUUGAGGAUUUUUUUUUCUCUAUCAGAUAUUUUUAUUGUAAUGGUGGGGCUUUUAAUUAUGUGUUAGCUGGAUAUAAUAUAGAGGUGGCAAAAUGGGAAGGUUGGCCGGUUGGGUAAUGGGUCAAAAAAGGUUUUAAGUCAAAAGUGAGUUGUGUUCAAUUGACCUAAAAUUCUUUUUAUUGGCGAUUUUUACAGUUCUUUCAUUAUAUAGUUUGUAAAUGAAAUGAUUUGAGGGGGCUUUAUGCAUUAAAAAAUACAUUUUGGGUGACUCACCAGUUUUCUAAGCUUAGGCUUUAUUUUGGAAAAAAGAUGGGUUAUUUGUAAACACUUUUUUCCGUUGGCUUGAUGAAAUCGAUUAUCUUAUGUAGAUGUGCAAAAUGGACAAGUCGGGUGGGUUGAGGCUUGGGGUAACAGGCCUAGCUGGGAUUGGGUCAAAACGGGUCGAAUUGGGUUGACAUGUAGCACUCUCAUCCAAUAUUUUACUUCUUUUUAAAUACUUAGUAUGCAUGACUACCAAGUUGUAACUUCUAACUUAUUUUGGUAAACGGUAAUAACUUGAUCUUUUUAACGUAUGAAAUUUUAUAGGUAGAAUUUAAAAUACACUUUUGGUUAUUUUUGUCCUUCUUGACCAUUAGAUCCAUUAUAGAAAUAAGCCAACUCAAGUCGAUCCAUUAUCGUUUUAAGUAUCGAAAGACUAACGGUAAGAUGCAAAUCAAGUAAUGGGUCAAACCAAGUCUGGGUCGAUAUUUUGAGCAUGAUGUGUGACAUGAUGAUACAGGCACUUUUACAAGUGGUGGAGUGCUGGCGAGAUAAGCACCGUGAUGGAGGGAUAUACCGUUGUUUAUCUGUUGUACGCACAUGCUCGAAUAUGCUCAAUUAUUUCUGGUAAAGACAUUGAGGAAUUGAAAAAGGGAGGCACGAAUAAUAUUGUAUAAAGAUGAAGAACACAAGUUGGGAUUACAUUUGCUUCUGUUUACCGAGGUUGUCGAGAGGCAUGCAUAAAUCUUUUUACCAAAUGUGAUGUGUGAAUUUUAUUAGAGAAGUUUACAAGUUUUUACUCCGAGUGCCAGGUAUACAUAUACUUCUAUACGUAUUCUUCUAAGAGACUUUACAGCAAUUACCAUGAGAGACUUUGCCUAACAUUUAAUUCGUGGGUUUUGGGUUUAGUCUAAACAGAUUCGUGUUAGUUUCAAGUCGAUCCCGCGAACAUGUUUAGCUAGACGGGUUGGUUUGGGUCAACCAGCCGUGUUUUCCGGGUUGGUAGAGUGUAAUAGUUUUUUAUUUUCUAUUGUAUGUUUUAUACAGAAUAAUUUAUGAUGCGAAUUUGUAUGGAUCCUUCUAUAGCUCUAGAGAUACUGAGAUUGUUUGUAGCGCAACUUCAUUUUGCUUGUUUUAUGUAUUACAUUUUAAAACCUA